AAGACGGGGUCUCACUUUGUUGACCAGGCUGGUCUCGAACUCCUGGCCUCAAGUGAACCUCCCAUCGCAACCUCCCAAAUUGUUAGCAUUACAGGUGUGAGCCACUGUACCCCGCCUGGUUGUGUACUCUUUCAAAAAUUAAGUUUUUAGUGUUAAAUGAUGCUUCUAGAUACAUUGUAAAAAUUCAUGUAUCAGAGUUUUUAAUUAAAAACAUUGCAAUUGUACUAGAUUUUAAAGUAAAUACUAAUCAAUAAUUCAGGCUUUGAUGUUGGUUUAUAGUUUUCUCACUUCUUUCAUUUAAUAGCUCUGUAAAUGAAGUAGUUACUUCCAUUUUCCUGAGGUGUAGGACUGUGGCCCAGAUAAGAUACCUGCACAAUGUUAUAGGUCCAAUAAGUGAGACUGGGGCUAUUAUCUAGUCCCUUUGACAUUAAAGCUUGUGUAGUAAACCAUCUAUGUCAGUUUGCCACAUUUGUAAUAGCGUUCAAUAAUUUUUCACUUAAAGGUUGGUUUAAUAUUAAAGUAGUAGCAAGAAUUCAUAACCUUAAUUGGCUUUAACAGCUUUUCUUCCCCUGAACACAGAUGCGUAUGUACACAUGCACACAGCAUACAGUAACAGCACAUAACAGGCCUUUGCAUGUUGAGGUCAGCACUGUUAUGGUGCCUUUUUUUUGUGGGGGGGGGCUCUGGUUUUUUGACUGCAAGUCUUUUUAGUUAGAAAGUAGCUUUCUAACACUUGGAUGGGUUUUACAGGCACAAAAAAACACAAAAGUAUUAUACUAGCUCUACUUUAUUUUUGAGUUCUUAUUAAUGGGGAACAUCUACUUUUGCAUUGACAGUGGUUUCAAGAUUGCUUUAUCAGCCUUUAAAGGAUUCUUAACUAGGUGUGCACUUCAGAACUGCCAGGCCCCCAGUGGUUCUGAAGCAGUAAGCUUUGGGUGGGCCCUGGCAUCAGCCCUUUUACUGAGCUUCACAGAUUAUUCUGAUGCAUACUCCAGGCCUGAACCGCUGAUCCCAUUUGAAACAUGCAUCCUAACAAAGCAAAAAAGUUUUGUUUCACCUUUUGAAAUAGUUAAUUCUUACCAUGCUGGAGAUUAUUCGUUCAGAGAGACAGGUGCUUGCUCCAGAGUGGUGAUAUCUGGCAGUACCCAACCCUUGUGUGUGCAGUAGCUCAGCACCUGCCAUAUUGGGAGCCCUGGUAGGAUGUGUCUUGUCCUUCCCUGUUUCAGCUCUUAACACAAUUGCUGGUACAGAGUAUGUAGCGUGCAUUUGUUGAAUGAAUGCUUUUCCCCGUAGCAGUGUAUUCAUACAAUAUUCAUAUAAUUGUCCCCUGGUUUACAGAUGAAAGUGAAAGCACUAAGUGCCCAAUGGUGAGACCUAGGAGUUCUUCUUCCACCCCUAGUGGUUCCCUGGGCAAUUUUUUCUAACACUCACCUGCAGUCUGUUCUGCAGUCCAUCAUUGAUUGACUUGUCUGUGUACUUGAGAGCAGGAACUGUUUGAUAGUUUCAUUAGUACAGAGUAAACAUUUGCCGUGCAAGGUUAUUUUACAUGUUUAUUUAAGUGAUAAAUGUUGAGUCAAUGAAAAUGAAGUUUUGAUUAAGCAAUAGUUGAAGAUGUGCUAGGUUUUUCAAAUUACUAAUAUCAAGCAGAGAUUGUUUUUACUUGUAAAGGUAUUGCUUUUGUGAUAGCAUAAAUAAUGGUUUUCCUUUUUUGUAAUGUAAAUUAAUUACUGGCAAUUUUGUAUUCCCAUAGACUGGGGAAGAUUAAUUGCCUUUAUAAGUAUGCUUGAGCCACCGCGCCCGGCCUGUAUCACAUUUUCUGUAUAAUAGCUUAUGCUUUAUUACUAUAUAUAUACUAAUAAUUUUACCUGACUUGUUUAUAUCAUUUGUACAAUUACCUGGUUGUAAUAUAAACUUGGUUGCUGUUAGCCACCCA